rnacentral:tRNA from 1 species
UCCCGGGGCUCAGAGGAUAAAGCGUCUGCCUGCAAUGUAGGAGACCCAGGUUCGAUCCUGGGUUGGGAA